rnacentral:rRNA from 1 species
UCCUACGGGGGGCAGCAGUGAGGAAUAUUGGUCAAUGGCCGGAAGGCUGAACCAGCCAAGUCGCGUGAGGGACGACUGCCCUAUGGGUUGUAAACCUCUUCCAUAAGGGAAGAAUAAAUGCUACGUGCAGCAUGAUGCCUGUACCUUAUGAAUAAGCAUCGGCUAACUCCGUGCCAGCAGCCGCGGUAAUACGGAGGAUGCGAGCGUUAUCCGGAUUUAUUGGGUUUAAAGGGUGCGUAGGCGGACAGUCAAGUCAGCGGUAAAAAUGCGGGGCUCAACGCCGUACAGCCGUUGAAACUGGCAGU